rnacentral:rRNA from 1 species
UACAGAGGUCCCGAGCGUUGUUCGGAUUCACUGGGCGUAAAGGGCGCGUAGGUGGCUUGGCAAGUUUGGCGUGAAAUCUCCGGGCUUAACCCGGAAAUGGCGUUGAAUACUGUUUGAGCUGGAGGUUUGGAGGGGGGACUGGAAUUCUUGGUGUAGCAGUGAAAUGCGUAGAUAUCAAGAGGAACACCAGUGGCGAAGGCGAGUCCCUGGACAACACCUGACACUGAGGCGCGAAAGCAUGGGGAGCAAACAGG